rnacentral:tRNA from 1 species
UGGGGUGUAGCUGAGUGGUAGAGCACUUGCCUAGCAAGUGUGAGGCACUGGGUUCAGUUCUCAGCACCGCAU